CAAAGGAAGUCAUGCCUAAUGACUAAAACAGACAGCAGGUUGCAAAUUUGGACUUCAUGAUGCAUUCCAGUCAGUAACAUGAAAGACAGGAAAUAUCUUACAUGUGCUGCCUUUGGGGAACAAGAGAAGAUAUGGAGGUCAAGCAUGGCUCUACUACAUUUGCUGAUAAAUCUUUUCAAUAGUGGGCUUUUUUAUCUUUGGUUUUUUUGGUUUUUUUUUUUUCCUUCCCUGAGCAGUGUGGUAUUGCCUGCAAAGCAGUGGGAAGAUCAAAUAGCCUUUCAGCCAGCUGCUCAACAUUGGUCACUGCCUUAGAGAACGAUGAACCCAUCAGCGCAGCUGAGUGCUGCUGUACAUCACCCAGCACAUGCAGAGGUUCCCAAGGUGGGCAGGAUAACACCAGAACACGCACCCUGAGUUGCCCUUGCCAGUGUCACCUGUCACUCCUCAGGGAUUUGGGCUGUUUGGCCAGAAAAUGGCUCUUCUUCCCCGAAGCCCGUCUGAUUUAAGUGCAUCUUUUCUUCAAGUACUCAAUGAAGCAGAAAAACAAUGUUAGUCUUCGGCGGCCUGGGAAAAUAACAAAAGUUCGCGAAGGUGGUCUCCAGAUGAUACAGCCCUCGCCGAAGCAAUUGCGCCGUUCUGCGUUUCCCCCGACAAGGGAGCAAAUCUAUGAUGGCAGCAGGGCUGGCAAGUGCAGAUUCCUGGACCUGCUCCUGGACUCACUAAGAAGGUAACAGGGGAAACACAGUGAUGACUGGAUAUAAAACCAGGAGCAAGGACAGAAAGCAGAGGAUAUGUAUGUACUCAGAAUGGUUUA